rnacentral:rRNA from 1 species
UACGGGGGGGGCAAGCGUUUGUUCGGAAUUACUGGGCGUAAAGGGUUCGUAGGUGGCUUGCUAAGUCAGACGUGAAAUCCCUCAGCUUAACUGGGGAACUGCGUCUGAUACUGGCGAGCUUGAGUGCAGGAGAGGAACGCGGAAUUCCAGGUGUAGCGGUGAAAUGCGUAGAUAUCUGGAGGAACACCGGUGGCGAAGGCAGCCUCCUGGGCCAAUACGUGACGCUCAUGCACGAAAGCGUGGGGAGCAAACAGG